rnacentral:rRNA from 1 species
UACGGAGGAUCCGAGCGUUAUCCGGAUUUAUUGGGUUUAAAGGGUGCGUAGGCGGUCUAUUAAGUCAGGGGUGAAAGACGGUGGCUCAACCAUCGCAGUGCCUUUGAUACUGAUGGACUUGAAUGAACUGGAGGUAGGCGGAAUGUGACAAGUAGCGGUGAAAUGCAUAGAUAUGUCACAGAACACCGAUUGCGAAGGCAGCUUACUACGGUUUAAUUGACGCUGAGGCACGAAAGCGUGGGGAUCAAACAGG